AGAAGGAAGGGGAGGACGCAUCAGAGUCUUGAGUGUACAGGAUGUCUAUGAAGAGGGGCCGGUCUAAAGAGGAUCCUCCAGACCCUAGUAAUGAACCUGGACCCUCAGACACAAAACAUCAGAAGAUGAGUGAUGUAGAGGAAGAGGAGGACGAAGCAGAGUCUGUAGUAUC